CGUGUAGGCGGCCAGAUAGGUCAGCUGUGAAAACUCGAGGCUCAACCUCGAGAUGUCGGCUGAAACCAUCUGGCUAGAGUCCGGAAGAGGAGAAUGGAAUUCCCGGUGUAGCGGUGAAAUGCGCAGAUAUCGGGAAGAACACCCGUGGCGAAGGCGGUUCUCUGGGACGGUACUGACGCUGAGACGCGAAAGCGUGGGGAGCGAACA
rnacentral:rRNA from 1 species